CACGCCGUAGCUUAACUGGUAAAGCACCACCUUUACCGGUGGGAGUUGUGGGUUCGAAUCCCACCGGCGUCA
rfam:Volvox carteri f. nagariensis unplaced genomic scaffold VOLCAscaffold_29, whole genome shotgun sequence.